GUCGAGAAUAAUUCACAAUGGACGAAAGUCUGAUGGUGCAACGCCGCGUGGAGGAUGAAGGUCUUCGGAUUGUAAACUCCUGUCAUCGGGGAGUAAGACCUGGCGGUAAAUAGCCGACAGGGUUGAUAGUACCCGAAGAGGAAGGGACGGCUAACUUCGUGCCAGCAGCCGCGGUAAUACGAAGGUCCCAAGCGUUGUUCGGAAUCACUGGGCGUAAAGGGAGCGUAGGCGGCGUGGUAAGUCAGAUGUGAAAUCCCGGGGCUCAACCCCGGAACUGCAUCCGAUACUGCCAUGCGUGAGGGGUGGAGAGGUAGCUGGAAUUCUCGGUGUAGCAGUGAAAUGCGUGGAUAUCGAGAGGAACACUCGUGGCGAAGGCGAGUUACUGGACAGCAUCUGACGCUGAGGCACGAAGGCCAGGGGAGCGAAAGGGAUUAGAAACCCGGGUAGUCC
rnacentral:rRNA from 1 species